GGUUGGAUGGCCGAGCGGUCUAAGGCGCUAGAAUCAGGCACUUCAUCGCCAGAUAAAUAAUCUAGUCUUUCGGGGCAUGGGUUUGAAUCCCAUUCCGAUCA